UGUUCUAAAACGAAAAUCGAUAAGAAAACUCAAAAGGCAGCCAAGGCUCAGACAGUCGCAGAUAGCAAAAGAGGGAAAAACGGAAAAUCAAGGGGAAUACGAAGUGGGGCGCCGAGGAAAUCUAUUUACAAUCAAACCUGCUCACCAAUAGCCAUUAAAAUUGCGUCAAUCAAGAGAAAAACCUCGCCAUUGCCCGCAGCAACAUCGAAGCUAGCCAAUUUCAGCCAACAGGACUUUCAGGGGCAGCAAGAGCAGUCCGGCGAAUUUAAGGCAGCAGCUGUAAGCCAAUUGGUGGCAACAGUUGUGCAAACAACAACAGCAGCAGCAGCAACAGCAGCAGCGGCGGCAGGAGCAACAUCAACAACAGCGGCAGCAGCAGCAGCAGCGGCAGCAGCAACACCCACAGGAGCAACAUCCGCAGUAGCAACACCAGCAGGCGCUACAUUUCCUAAGGCCAGCUCCUUGAGUCAGCAGCAACCACCACCGCCGCCGCCGCCACCAGCAACAACACCACCACCACCACCGCAGGAAACCGCAGCAGCAGCAACAACAAGUGUUGCCGGGACAACAGCAAUCACAACACCAGCAGCAACAGCAGCGCUAGCAACCAACAGGGCUAGCAAAGCCACAAGCAGGACAAGCAGCAACAGCAGCAGCGACAGCAGCAGCAGCAACAGCAACAGCAGCAAAAUCAACAACAGCGGCAAUAGCAACAACAGCAGCGGCAGCAACACCGGCCACAGCAGCAGCAGCAGCGGCAGCAACAGCAACAGCAAUACCUGCAACAGCAGCAGCAGCAACACCAGCACCACCACGACGCUGUACACGUGCUCCAGCGCCUCCUCGUCGCUGAUUGCCCAGCCGCCGCCAACGAAGAUAUUUAAGACGGAUCACCAUCUGUGCGCCGCCUACGGACUGCCGACCGCCACCGCCGCCGCUGCUGUUGGUGGGCAUCCCUGCGUCUACUGCGUGAUACCCGUGCCCGUGGGGAGCUCGUCUAGCGCCGCCGCCGCACCGCCAACACCGCGCAGCGCCUUCCCCGGCGCCCCGCUCACCGCCUCAGCCGUCGCACUCAAGGGCGCCCUCCCCCAGCGGCCACCGGCCAUGACAAGUCCCGCAGCCGCUGCCGCUGGCGCCGCCCUGGCCGCCGGUGCUCCGUACCGCGGCGCCGCCAGCUGGACCCCGCAGGGCUAUGCCCCGGCCGCUGCCGCAGCUGCCGCCGCUGUUGCCCAGCAGGCAGCCUACCGCUACACGGCGCCGCUGCCCCAGCCGGCAUAUGCCGCCUACACGCCGCACACGGCCACCACACCGGCCACAACCACGUACGGCCAGCGAGUGCCGACGGCAGCCUCACCGAGCAACACCAACUCGAGCAGCUCCUCGAACACCGGCUCCCAGAGCGGCACGCUGAGCACCAGCCUGAGCAACACGACGAACACCAACACGAACAUGGGUCCCAACGGCACGGUGCAGAAUCAAAACCAACAGGGCGGCGAGCAGUUGUCCAAGACAAAUCUCUACAUUCGCGGACUGCAGCAGGGCACAACCGACAAGGAUCUAGUUAAUAUGUGUGCACAAUACGGAACAAUUAUAUCAACCAAGGCUAUUUUAGAUAAAACAACAAACAAAUGUAAAGGUUACGGCUUCGUCGACUUCGAGCAGCCAGCCUUCGCCGAGUGCGCCGUAAAAGGAUUGCAGGGGAAGGGCGUGCAAGCUCAGAUGGCCAAAGUGGGUAUCUGGGUGCUUCAUAGGCCGGCCAUUCAACAGGAACAGGAUCCCACAAAUUUGUAUAUUGCAAAUUUGCCGCCCCACUUCAAAGAAACUGAUCUGGAGGCAAUGCUAUCGAAAUACGGACAAGUUGUUUCGACCAGAAUAUUGCGUGAUCAGCAGAUGAACUCCAAGGGCGUUGGCUUUGCCCGCAUGGAGAGUCGCGAGAAGUGCGAGCAAAUCAUUCAGAUGUUCAAUGGUAACACAAUACCGGGUGCCAAAGAUCCCCUGCUGGUGAAGUUCGCCGAUGGCGGACCCAAAAAGAAGAAUCUCUUCAAGACUCCCGAUCCGAAUGCGCGUGCGUGGCGCGACGUCUCCGCGGAGGGAAUUCCCGUGGCCUACGAUCCAUCGAUGCAGCAGAAUGGCGUCAGCGUGAACGUCGGAACGCCCAUCGGAGUGCCCUACUCCCGGUUCAGCGCCCCCCAGGUGGGUGGCUAUCCAGUGGCCGGCUCCCAGUGGAUACCCGGUUACAUGAUGACCCAGCCGAUCACUCAGGUAGAUGAUCAGUACAUGCAGAUGGCAGCCGCCCCACAGCUGGGAGUCACCUCAUACAAACCGGAGGCUGUGAACCAGGUGCAGCCCCGUGGCAUCUCGAUGAUGGUUAGCGGCGAUACGGGCGUGCCAUAUGGAACGAUGAUGCCCCAGUUGGCCACCCUGCAGAUUGGCAACUCUAACUUUUCUCCAUCGUUACAGUAUAUUAGUCCAACUUAUCCAUAUUAUGCACCACCACCAACUAUUAUACCAACAAUGCCAAUGACAGAUUCCGAACAGGCUAGCACAGCUGCAUCACCCGACGAGGCAUACACACAGUAUCCACAUCAAGCCGCUCCCAAAUAGGUCUUCGCGAGUAUAGUUACUAAGCAGUCUAAUCUCUGGUAAUCCAUACUAGCUACAAUAUAUUAGUACCCCAUUUGAGUACUAUAUAAAUUAGACGAGAGUGAGAGCAUGCCAGGUGGAAGCGGAAAAGCCAAGGAGAUGGAGAAUCAACAGAACUAACAUUAAAUGCAGCGGAUCGAAAGGAGUCUACAACAACCACCACCACACGAACAAGAACUAGAAGAAACUACUGAGACACAGCAUCGGCAGAAGAAUCGGAAACACAGCAUGCAGUUCACGAAGUUAAAUCUAAAGAAAAGCCAUCCCCCCGAAACCCAGAAAGCUGAGGCAGAGAAAAAAUAAUGUAUAAAAUAAGGAGGUUGGAUGUGAGGAUGAAGUUUAGGGGAUACAUGAAUACAGUGUAAGAGAUGCGUAGGGAAAAGCCGGUCUCCGAAGAGACGAGCGCAGAAGACGCGAGUAAAAAGUGAAGAAAAGCAAAGACUAAACUUAAAUAAUAGAGAAUAGUUAUACACUAAAUAAACAACCAGAGAUGCAACAGCAGAACGGCAACAAUUGCCAAACAACAGCGGCAAACGAGAGAAGAGCAGUCGAAAAUAUUUACAAAAAGAGAACUGCAGGAUGCGAAGAAAAGAAGGCAAAGUCAAAGGAAACUCACUUGGGGGUCGUAAGAACUUGAGGAAAUCUGCUGAGCAAAAAGAAAAACCAUCGCAGAUUAGAGAUUAGAUUAGAAAAAACAGUUGCAUGGGGGAAACCGAUGGGAAGAGCGAUGUAAAAAUAGAAGAGAAGAAAUAAAAAGAAACUAUUUUGCUAAUUUUGAGCUAGCAAAAAUCUAGCAGACAGAAAAAUUGUGAAGUAAAAGCAGAGAAAAAAUAAAUGUGUGUGCAAUGUAUGUUAAAGAACCGUAAAGAAAAACAGAGCAAAUAAAAAACGAAACAAAACCCA